AGCUCCAAUAGCGUAUAUUAAAGUUGUUGCAGUUAAAACGCUCGUAGUCGAACUUUAGACACGGCUGUUUGGUUUGCUUUUGUGGCAAGACUGGACUAGUUGCGUCUCUAUGCCAGAGAACAAAUUAUGUUUGGAAACUGGGUAUUACUGUGAAGAAAUUAGAGUGUUUAAAGCAGGCCGUUGCGCUUGAAUACAUUAGCAUGGAAUAAUAAGAUAGGACCGUGGGGUCUAUUUUGUGGGUUUGAGGACCAAGGUAAUGAUUAAUAGGGACAGUUGGGGGCAUUAGUAUUCAGUAGUCAGAGGUGAAAUUCUUGGAUUUACUGAAGACUAACUAGUGCGAAAGCAUUUGCCAAGAAUGUCUUCG
rnacentral:rRNA from 1 species